rnacentral:rRNA from 1 species
GACGAACGCUGGCGGCGUGCUUAACACAUGCAAGUCGAACGAUGAAGCCGGAGCUUGCUCUGGUGAAUUAGUGGCGAACGGGUGAGUAACACGUGAGUAACCUGCCCUUGACUCUGGGAUAACUGCUAGAAAUGGUAGCUAAUACCGGAUACGACCCUCGGCGGCAUCGCCAGGGGGUGGAAAGAAUUUCGGUCAAGGAUGGACUCGCGGCCUAUCAGCUAGUUGGUGAGGUAACGGCUCACCAAGGCGACGACGGGUAGCCGGCCUGAGAGGGUGACCGGCCACACUGGGACUGAGACACGGCCCAGACUCCUACGGGAGGCAGCAGUGGGGAAUAUUGCACAAUGGGCGCAAGCCUGAUGCAGCGACGCCGCGUGAGGGAUGACGGCCUUCGGGUUGUAAACCUCUUUUAGUAGGGAAGAAGCGAAAGUGACGGUACCUGCAGAAAAAGCAUCGGCUAACUACGUGCCAGCCGCCGCGGUAA